rnacentral:lncRNA from 1 species
CAGGCAGAGUGGACAGUGAGAGACAGAGAGGACAGAGAGACAGAGAAAAAGGUAUUCCUUUUGCCGUUGGUUCACCCUCCAUGGCCGCCGUGGCCGGCGUGCUGCGGCCGGCGCACUGCGCUGAUCCGAUGGCAGGAGACAGGUACUUAUCCUGGUCUCCCAUGGGGUGCAGGGCCCAAGCACUUGGGCCAUCCUCCACUGCACUCCCGGGCCACAGCAGAGAGCUGGCCUGGAAGAGGGGCAACCGGGACAGAAUCCGGUGCCCUGACCGGGACUAGAACCCGGUGUGCCGGUGCCACAAGGCGGAGGAUUAGCCUAGUGAGCCGCAGCGCCGGCUGGCAUUUAUCUUUUAAUUUAAAUUGUAGUAAAGAUGAUUGCCAAGAAUGUCAUGCCUUCUCUUUCGAGACAGUGGGAGAUAUUCCCAUGAAAGCAAGGUUGGGAGCCAUUACUCUAGGACAGAGUGCCUUCUGCAUUGUUAUUUGCAUUGCAGGUGAAGAAGUCCGUAUGAAUGAAUGGGCUGUGCCAGCAAUAGGAACUGGAAUGAAGCAGACCUUGCAGGGAGAGAAAGAAGGUCCCUUGCGCUGAGCUGCUUGGCUGUAAGAGCUGUCUCUGUUUACGUCAGCUACACUUUGCUGCACCUGUCACUCACCCCCUGCAUCCAACAUGAGACAAUGAGCCCAGUGAUGAAGGACAACUAGGACACCCAUGCCUGCAGCAUGAGGAAGCAGUGAGAAGCCAGAGAGUGGGCCGCCAUCAGACACUGAGUCUGCUGGCACCUUGACAUUGGAAUUCCCAGCCUCCAGAAUGGAGAUAUAGGUAUCUGUAGCUUGUAAGUUAACUGGGUUAUGGUAUUGUGUUGUAACAGCCCAAACAGGCUAAGACAAGUCAGAUGCUGGCCCACUUGUGAGCCUGCUGAAUGCCUGGUCUUUGACUUGUAGCACCAAUGAAAGUCAUUCCAGGAAGCCGGGGGGCCUGUGUGAAUCUGAUAAAAUAGUCCUUUGGGAGAGGAAGCAUGGUAAUGACUCUGGUGAGCUGAUGUAGGCCCUCUCCCCCUGUCCAUCAUCCCUUUCUAAUCACUAUUUGGGCAUUGGGGCAAAGGUCUCCAGAAGUUACCUUUGUCCGGCAGGUGUUUCCUGGGUGGCCAAUAUAGAGGCGGGUGCCACUUCCUAUCACUUAUGGCUUUGCAGAAAGGACUUUAGGGUGCAAGUUGAGGGAGCCCUCUGGAGGCAGGAUCUGGAGGGGCUUGUGUGCUUCCUGUCUCUGAGAGCUUCCUCCCUCGGCCCCCUGGUCAUGCGCACGUGUGCUGCGCUUCAGUCCCUCCACUGCUGGGCUGCAGCUGCCUACAUCCGAGCUGUUCUAAGUUCCACAGGUAACAGACUCUUCUGAGAGUACUUCAUCUCAGAGAUCUCAAAAAUCAUUAGCUAUCUCACCUCAAAACCUAUUUUUCGAAAUUUUUAUUGAUUUAUUUUGUUUAUUGGAGAGAGAACCCCCAAAUGCAGGCUAGAAUCAGGAGCUGGGAACUCAGUUCCAGUCUCUCACUUGGGUGGCAGAGACCCAGCUACUCGAGUGAUCACCACGGCCUCCU